UAAAUAAUUAGUAUAGUUUACACUGUGUUGUGUUUUUUCUCUACAUGGUUUUUUACCUAGAAGAGGUAUUUGUUUUUAUUGAUAGAAGAUUUUGUCACUUAGUUAAUUACAAUAUUAAUGUUAAAACGGCAAUUAAAAUAUUUUUGAUAUUUAUUUUGCUGUUUUAUUUAACAUGUACUAAGCUACCCCGCACUGUCUGAAUGUUCCCCGACCUAUGUACGAACCUGCCCCUUUUGAGGGGUAGAUUCGGGCAUUUGACAACUUCUACUAAAAUUGAAUUUGCUCUUUUGUUGUAAAAUUUACUCACUUCUAAUUUUUUUAAUAAGUAGCGAAAGGUAUCAGCACCUCUAGCACAUCUUGCAUCCGCGACUUAGACCGCGACUCAAGUCGACAUUCCCGCGGCUGUCAAAUCUGUCGAUUUCCGUAGCACAACUUGUACCCGCGACUGCAACAGCCGCGUAGACAACUCAAAGUCGCGGCGCGACUCAUCAGUGUUCCCCGAUGGAAUCAAAGUCUAAACAUAAAUGCUAUUUACAUGUGACAACACUGAAUCGGAAACAGGGUUGCGCUAUUUCAUUCGUUCUUUGGUGGUAAAAAAUCUAGUUUAUUGUCGAUGGUUAAGUUUUUCCUGUCAAAGUCAAGGAACUUUCAAAUUUUGUCAACAUUUAAUUACGAGAAAAAAUAUGAAAAAAUAAUAAGUCCAGCAUUAUCCUAGACACGAUUGAUAUCCCAGCACCCAAAGGAAAAUAUUGUUAACAGGAAUGUGCCAACGGGACCCGAAGUGGAGAGUCAGGAAAAGAAACACACUAGGCAAGCUUGUAGGUUUCAAACGCGGAGCUGUCCGUUUCUAAAGUCACUAAGAUGUGAGAAGCGCUUUAGCUUUAAGAACACCACCGAGGAAGUGAACUAUUAUAAUAACCAUAAUGGUUAUGGCGUACCUAUCUAUAGUUCAUUUGUUUUUAGCAUUAGAAAUAAGGUAAACAAUCUUGAUGUGUCUUUUAAUUAAAAAACACAUUUUAAAAAUAAGUUACAGCAAAUAUGUAACAAUUAUGAAUCUAAUACGAUCAUUUAUAUUUUUCUGCUUUCAUAAGCAAAUAUUGUGCCAAUAAUGGAUGGCAUGUGUGUGUACUGUGUAACUGUUUAUGAUUUGACAAAUUGAUAUGAAAAGCUUAUUUCAUAGUCCUCGAUGAAGUCACGACCAUAUUUUAUUUUUUUGUUUACAAACCAAUUUUCUUUCCAGGGUGAUAUUUAAUUGUCCUACGCCGCAUGUCGAAUAAAAAGGAAGAGAGAAAAUACUUUUCAAGGGUAAUAAAGAAGAUUCUUACAAUUUCUCUAUUGUGGUUCUAGAUGUUAAUAAUAUAUUAGGUUUAAUAAUAAGAAGUCGAAUAUUGCAAGAAUAUAUAAGGCAAAGCAAUAUACUAUUAAUUUAAA